UAUCCAGACUCCUACGGGAGGCAGCAGUGGGGGAUAUUGCACAAUGGGGGAAACCCUGAUGCAGCGACGCCGCGUGAGUGAAGAAGUAAUUCGUUACGUAAAGCUCUAUCAGCAGGGAAGAAAAUGACGGUACCUGACUAAGAAGCCCCGGCUAACUACGUGCCAGCAGCCGCGGUAAUACGUAGGGGGCAAGCGUUAUCCGGAUUUACUGGGUGUAAAGGGAGCGUAGACGGCGGCGCAAGCCAGAUGUGAAAGCCCGGGGCUCAACCCCGGGACUGCAUUUGGAACUGUGCCGCUAGAGUGUCGGAGAGGCAGGCGGAAUUCCUAGUGUAGCGGUGAAAUGCGUAGAUAUUAGGAGGAACACCAGUGGCGAAGGCGGCCUGCUGGACGAUGACUGACGUUGAGGCUCGAAAGCGUGGGGAGCAAACAGGAUUAGACACCCGGGUAUU
rnacentral:rRNA from 1 species